rnacentral:rRNA from 1 species
GGUUAAGCGACUAAGCGUACACGGUGGAUGCCCUGGCAGUCAGAGGCGAUGAAGGGCGUGCUAAUCUGCGAUAAGCGCCGGUAAGGUGAUAUGAACCGUUAUAACCGGCGAUACCCGAAUGGGGAAACCCAGUGUGAUUCGUCACACUAUCAUUAACUGAAUCCAUAGGUUAAUGAGGCGAACCGGGGGAACUGAAACAUCUAAGUACCCCGAGGAAAAGAAAUCAACCGAGAUUCCCCCAGUAGCGGCGAGCGAACGGGGAGGAGCCCAGAGCCUGAAUCAGCAUGUGUGUUAGUGGAAGCGUCUGGAAAGGCGCGCGAUACAGGGUGACAGCCCCGUACACAAAAGCGCAUGUGCUGUGAGCUCGAUGAGUAGGGCGGGACACGUGGUAUCCUGUCUGAAUAUGGGGGGACCAUCCUCCAAGGCUAAAUAC